CCUCAACUUCUCAGAGUACCUUUCCUUGGCAGCUCUGAUUCCUCUUCUCAGCUUGUACUGGGCCUGCCUGUGGAGGUCUGCAUACCCGUUCCUGUAGGCCUCAUCUUUAUUGGCGGAGCUGUCUGAAUUCUGC